GGUUAAGUUAGAAAGGGCGCACGGUGGAUGCCUUGGCACUAGGAGCCGAUGAAGGACGGGACGAACACCGAUAUGCUUCGGGGAGCUGUAAGCAAGCUUUGAUCCGGAGAUUUCCGAAUGGGGAAACCCACCACUCGUAAUGGAGUGGUAUCCAUAUCUGAAUACAUAGGAUAUGAGAAGGCAGACCCGGGGAACUGAAACAUCUAAGUACCCGGAGGAAGAGAAAGCAAAUGCGAUUCCCUGAGUAGCGGCGAGCGAAACGGGACCAGCCCAAACCAAGAGGCUUGCCUCUUGGGGUUGUAGGACACUCUGUACGGAGUUACAAAGGAACGAGGUAGAUGAAGAGGUCUGGAAAGGCCCGCCAUAGGAGGUAACAGCCCUGUAGUCAAAACUUCGUUCUCUCCUGAGUGGAUCCUGAGUACGGCGGAACACGUGAAAUUCCGUCGGAAUCCGGGAGGACCAUCUCCCAAGGCUAAAUACUCCCUAGUGACCGAUAGUGAACCAGUACCGUGAGGGAAAGGUGAAAAGCACCCCGGAAGGGGAGUGAAAGAGAUCCUGAAACCGUGUGCCUACAAGUAGUCAGAGCCCGUUAACGGGUGAUGGCGUGCCUUUUGUAGAAUGAACCGGCGAGUUACGAUCCCGUGCAAGGUUAAGCAGAAGAUGCGGAGCCGCAGCGAAAGCGAGUCUGAAUAGGGCGAAUUGAGUACGUGGUCGUAGACCCGAAACCAGGUGAUCUACCCAUGUCCAGGGUGAAGUUCAGGUAACACUGAAUGGAGGCCCGAACCCACGCACGUUGAAAAGUGCGGGGAUGAGGUGUGGGUAGGGGUGAAAUGCCAAUCGAACCUGGAGAUAGCUGGUUCUCUCCGAAAUAGCUUUAGGGCUAGCCUCAAGGUAAGAGUCUCGGAGGUAGAGCACUGAUUGGACUAGGGGCCCCUACCGGGUUACCGAAUUCAGUCAAACUCCGAAUGCCGAUGACUUAUCCUUGGGAGUCAGACUGCGAGUGAUAAGAUCCGUAGUCGAAAGGGAAACAGCCCAGACCGCCAGCUAAGGUCCCAAAGUAUACGUUAAGUGGAAAAGGAUGUGGAGUUGCUUAGACAACCAGGAUGUUGGCUUAGAAGCAGCCACCAUUUAAAGAGUGCGUAAUAGCUCACUGGUCGAGUGACUCUGCGCCGAAAAUGUACCGGGGCUAAACGUAUCACCGAAGCUGCGGACUGUUCUUCGAACAGUGGUAGGAGAGCGUUCUAAGGGCUGUGAAGCAAGACCGGAAGGACUUGUGGAGCGCUUAGAAGUGAGAAUGCCGGUAUGAGUAGCGAAAGAGGGGUGAGAAUCCCCUCCACCGAAUGCCUAAGGUUUCCUGAGGAAGGCUCGUCCGCUCAGGGUUAGUCGGGACCUAAGCCGAGGCCGAAAGGCGUAGGCGAUGGAUAACAGGUUGAUAUUCCUGUACCACCUCCUCACCAUUUGAGCAAUGGGGGGACGCAGGAGGAUAGGGUAAGCGCGGUAUUGGAUAUCCGCGUCCAAGCAGUUAGGCUGGGAAAUAGGCAAAUCCGUUUCCCGUGAAGGCUGAGCUGUGAUGGCGAGCGAAUUAUAGUAGCGAAGUUCCUGAUUCCACACUGCCAAGAAAAGCCUCUAGCGAGGUGAGAGGUGCCCGUACCGCAAACCGACACAGGUAGGCGAGGAGAGAAUCCUAAGGUGAUCGAGAGAACUCUCGUUAAGGAACUCGGCAAAAUGACCCCGUAACUUCGGGAGAAGGGGUGCUCUGUUAGGGUGCAAGCCCGAGAGAGCCGCAGUGAAUAGGCCCAGGCGACUGUUUAGCAAAAACACAGGUCUCUGCGAAGCCGUAAGGCGAAGUAUAGGGGCUGACGCCUGCCCGGUGCUGGAAGGUUAAGAGGAGCGCUUAGCGUAAGCGAAGGUGCG
rnacentral:rRNA from 1 species